rnacentral:lncRNA from 1 species
GUGAUCUGAUGCGUCACUUUGGUAAGCGAGUACCUUAGAGAAUGCACGUGGGUCCAGUAUUUGGAAUGGCAUCUAAAAGGGCACGUGGCUCGGUGAUCUGAUGCGUCACUUUGGUAAGCGAGUACCUUAGAGAAUGCACGUGGGCCCGGGCAUCGUAAAAAGGACACGUGGCUCGGUGGCUUGAUGUACCACCUUGGCGAAGAGGUCGCCUUAGAGAAUGCACGUGGGUCCGAGGUUUGAGGCACGUGGCUCGGAGACUUGGAAGGUCGUCCUGGAGAAUGCACGUGGCCUAGCUUUUAAAUAUCCCAUAGUGAGGAUUGAAUUGUAUGACAUGUAAUCGACUAGUUCGAUUUGUUUGAAGCGAAUGGCUGUUUAUGGUGAAUUGUACUGACUUGCAGGUGGGAUCAGAGGCCAAGGUAAGUCCUCUGCCCUGUGCGUGUUUAGGCAGCCUUUAGUAUAUUGGUUUACUAAUCGGGCUUAGUGGGGUAGAACUCGCUGAGACGUAGUCUCAUCCCAGUUUGGGGAAAACCAUUUCAGGACCCCGCUGAAGAGCUGAGGAGGAGGAAUCCGAGAAGGAGAACUCGGAGGUGAG